GAUGAAGAACGUAGCGAAAUGCGAUAAGUAAUGUGAAUUGUAGAAUUCAGUGAAUCAUCGAAUCUUUGAACGCACAUUGCGCCCGCCAGUAUUCUGGCGGGCAUGCCUGUCCGAGCGUCAUUUCAACCAUCAAGCCCCCGGGCUUGUGUUGGGGACCUGCGGCUGCCCGCAGGCCCUGAAAACCAGUGGCGGGCUCGCUGUCACACCGAGCGUAGUAGCAAUCACCUCGCUCAGGGCGUGCUGCGGGUUCCGGCCGUUAAACAGCCUUACAAAACCCAAGGUUGACCUCGGAUCAGGUAGGAAGACCCGCUGAACUUAAGCAUAUCAAUAAGCGGAGGA
rnacentral:misc_RNA from 1 species